AAAGGAAAAAGAAGAGAACGGUAAAAGAAUAGAAAAACCGUGAGGGAGAAGAGAAGAGAGAGACCGGUGGCUCUAUGAAGGAAAAAAGAGGGAGAAAUCUUCAUGGAAGAAGAAGCAAAGGUAUAACAUUAAUUUUCUUUCUUCCUAAGCUUUGUUCUCUUUCUUUUUGUAAAUUGAUGGAAAGGGGUUUUUGAUUUGAAAGUUCAAGCCCCUAUGAUCUAUGUGUUUUCCAUGGAUUCAAGUAUGGAUUUAUGCAUUUUGAGUGUUGAUUUGGUUUGAAUCAAAAAGGAAAAGAAAAAUAAUUUUUCUAGUUUUGAAACCCAAAUUUCUUUGUACUUUAAAAAUCCACUGUUUUAAAUCUAUAACUCCUUUUUACGAUCCGUCAAAGAGGGGUGCUAGAUAUAUGUGUUUAUUAGUUAACCCAAGUGGUAGCACUCAAAAAUAUUGAGUUUUCAUGGGGUAGUGACUGAUUAAGCCAAAACAGUCCCGUUUUUGGUAGAAGGAAACAAACUGUUUUGGGGCAGUUUCUGGCGGGGGCAAUUUCGUCCACUUUUUUUUGCUUUAAGAAUUCUGGAAAAAAUAGAAGUAGUAAUAUCAUAAGAUUUUAAGGUUGUGUAAAAAUUUGAGAAUUUUUGGCCAUACGGUUUGAGAGAUAUGGAUUUUACGGUGAAGGGCUAUUUGUAUGAAACCACCCAAAUAAUUCUAUGUGUAUAAGUCCAAAAAUUACAAAAUUUGUACUGGAAGUACAUGUGUAUAACAGGAACAUGCUGUAAAAAUUUCAAAAUUUUUGGAGUUAAUCUCGAUUUAUGAAAAAUCGGAGAAUAUUUGGCUAUUAUGGACUAUUUAAAUAUAGUAAAUCUAUUUUAAAAAUUUCGGGAAAAAUAUAUGUUCAAUAUGAAAUUAUAUUCUGUCACAUCCCAAAAAAAAAAUAUUUUUGGAACUGAUUUGGUAUUUUUCAUCUAAAUGAUGAUAAAUGGAUAAAUGGAUUUAAUUAAAUAUAUGAUGUUCAAAAAUAAGAAAAAUACGAUUUAUGACUUGAGACCCUUGAGCAUGGCUUAUGCAGGUUUUUGAUGAAGUUUUGGGUCGGGUGUGAAGUGUUGUGAUGUUUAUGGCAUUUUAGAAUGCUUAAACAAGUUGAUUAAUAAAAGGAAAACAAUUGAAAAUAAUUGUUUAUUUAUGUGAUUAAUGACUUAAAUUAUUGGAUUAAAAUAUUAUUUGUAGUAUUUGACUGGAAUGUUAUUAAAAGAUUAAUAAAUCUUAGCGUAAAAUAUUAUUACAUAAUUAAUAAUAUUCGACGGGAGAUUUAAAAUAAGAGAUUUAUGAUAUUUUUCAAUGUAAUUGUUGAAAUUGGUAUUCAAUGAACUAUAUUAUGUGUUUGGGCAAAGGAUAGAAAAAUAAUAAGUGAUUUAGUGUUUUUCAUGAAAAGUAUAUGGAAUUCAGCUUGCUGGAUUGAAAAGAAGCUUACUGAAUUGAAGGAUUUAGAAUCCAAACUUGCUGGAUUGAAGGAAUUAAGAAUCCAGGCUUGCUGGAUUGGAUAUAUGUUGAAUCUAGGUCGCUGGAUUUGGAAUCCAGUUUGCUGGAUUUGGAAUCCAGUCUGCUGGAUUGGAAAUUUGGUUGCUAGAUUUAGAAUCUAGGUUGCUGGAUUAGUAUUUAACUUAUUAGAUGUUAAAGAAUAACUUGUGAAAUGAAAAAAAAACGAGUGAUAAAUCAUAAUGUAUAUGAUACAGUGAUUGAAGAAUUAUCAAAGGAUGAUAAUAAUGCUAAUGUUUUAAGGUUUUAUCUAAUAUUUAAUUAUGUGAUUAAGUGUUAGAUAAUUGAUUGAUAAAGUAAUUGUAUUAUGAUACAAAGUGUGAUAUGUUGAUUAAAAUACCAAUCUUAUUAAUGAUAGGUCUUACAAAAGAAGUUAACUUAAAUUACGUAGCAGUAGUCAACGAAUCAGGCAAGUUUCCUAACUCAACUUGAGUUGUUAAUUCAAAGCAUGUUAGUGGUUAAUCAUUGUUGAUUAUACCACAUCAAUAAUUUAUUGAUUCGCACAUUGUGCAUGUUGUAUAUGUUCAUCAGGUAUGAAAGGCUGAUCACCUUCAUUACCAUAUGUUUCGGUUAAACUUGUUCAUGUUAAUUGUUGACAUCCAAUAUUAUUGGUUCAGUCAUUCAAUCAUUGAAAAUUGAUUCAUGUUCUUUCACAAUUAUUAUAUUGUUGAAAGUUUGAAAGCUUAUUCAUUCUUUUCAAUCAUGAUAUAUCUCCAUUGUAUUUAAAACUUGUUGGGCAAAUUUGUUGCUCACCCUUGCUAUAUCAUGAUAAAAUUUUCAGAUUUAGAUGAAAGUUCGAAUAAAGACAGAGGUAAAGUCAAAGUGCAAGAUUAAUUUAUGUUGCAGUUAGAUCUAUUAAAUUUUCUGACGAAAAUAACACUGUAAAUCUUCUAAGAUAUUGAAGGUAUGUAUUUAGUUAAGGUUGUAGACCUUGGGAAUGAUGUGUAAAAGUUUAAUGUAUAAACAAUUUAUGUUUAUAUCUUCCGCAAUAGUUAUAGAAAUGAUGUACCAGAUCUGUGGUAAGAAGUACCCGGAUUUGGGGACGUCACAUAAUAUAAAACCCCAAAUUUUACGAAUAAAGAUUUAUUUUUCUCGAAAUAUUUUUUUUAAUAUUAUGGUGUGGAUUUGAGAUUGUGUUAUAGUUGUGGGUAGUAUUUAUAAAUUUUGCAAAGUAUGCAAGUUGUUAUAUAAUAUUCGAUUGGUAGGGGAAUAUUCAUUUUAAAAGGGAAUAUUCGUACGACGGCACAAUCAUUGGUGGACCCCACAACGGAAGUAUUAUCGUAGUUAGAAAACGAUAGAAUUAUCAUUUAAUAAAAAUAACGGCGAGAGUGUUACCGUUAAAACUGUUGAACUACUCCGUAGUAAAAGUACAGUAAUAUGCGUGGUUGCAUAGUAGCACACUGUAUUAAUUAUUGAUGCUUACGUUAAAAGUCACUCAGUUAUACUCAAUUAUUGCUACAGUAAUUGUUGCAUCAUAUCUCUCAUAUUAUUGAUUCAAUUAUUGUCACAGUAUCAUCUGCAUAAUAUGAUAUAUUAUUAAAACAAUAAUUGAGACGACAAAGUUAUUCAUAUUAUUAAAUUGCAAUAUUUACAAUUUCUAGAAGUUAUAUCAAGGAGAGGUUUGGUAAUCUAAUUGCGCGCCAAUAUGGAGAAAUCCUUAUCGGAAAGCCCCCCCUUUCCUGGGAACGACCUAGUUGUUAAAUAUUGUGAGUUAUAAUAUUAAUGAUGAAUAAGUUCGUGUUGAUUAAAGAUGAAAUGGAUAGUUCCAUUUUGUUGGAAUUAUAAGUGUUAGUGGAAAUCGAUAUUUAUUUCGAUAAUAAUUGAUGUCUGGAGGUUAUAUUGACCAAUCGGGUAAUUAACCGGAUAAAUGAGCAAUUAAUUGCUAUUAAUUCACAUGCUUAUAACUAUGUGUUCACAUGUGUGUACUAUUGAUUCACAUGAUUUACUAUUAGGGGAGUUGGUGCAAGAUUGAUAAUACUUGCAUGACUAAAUUAAAAAUGGAGGUAUAGAUGAAGGUACUAUACUAUAAUUAAUUUUUUCACAUGUUUAGAACUAUUGAGUCACAUGAUUUACUAUUGAUUCACAUGAUUUACUAUUAGGGGAGGUGGUGCAAGUUUGAUAAUACUUGUAAGACUAAAUUAAAAAGGAAGAAAAAGAGGAAGGUAUUAUACUGGAAUAUUUCGAGCCCCAAAAUGUGCAAUUAUUGAAACUAUAUUUUCCUAUAAAUAGAAGCUCAUUCUUCCUUCAUUUCUCACCAAUUCACUAAAGCUAUAGAGCAAUUAUUAUAGAGAGAAAUUAUAGAGAGAAAGAAGAAGAGAAGUCUGCUACCUCACUAUUCCAGUAUCCAGUCUUCUUUUGAGGUAAGGGAUAUUAUUUGUUUCAUAUUCAUGAAGAGAGCUUCUGUUAUUCCAUUCUUUAUUAUUAUGUUGGAAUAACCUGUCUAUGCGAAGUACCACAUAUAUGGUGAAAUUCUUCUAUUAUUCUAUUCUUUAUUAUUCUGUUGGAAUAUCCUAUCUAUGCGUAUUACGCAUGACCUGGUUCCAUUAUUUAUUAUUCUGUUGGAAUAACCUGUCUGUGCGGUUUAUCGCAUACCUGGUGAUUUCUGUUGUUAUUCCAUUCUUUAUUAUUCUGUUGGAAUAACCUGUUUGUGCAGUCUAUCGCAUGCCUGGUGAUUUCUGUUGUUAUUCCAUUCUCUAUUAUUCUGUUGGAAUAUCCUGUCUGUGCGAAUUACGCAUGACCUGGUUCCAUUCUUUAUUAUUAUGUUGGAAUAACCUGUCUAUGCGAAGUACUGCAUACAUGGUGAAAUUCUUCUGUUAUUCCAUUAUAUAUCAUUAUGUUGGAAUAACCUGUCUGUGCGGUUUAUGGCAUGCCUGGUGAUUUCUGUUGUUAUUCCAUUCUCUAUUAUUCUGUUGGAAUAUCCUGUCUGUGCGAAUUACGCAUGACCUGGUUCCAUUCUUUAUUAUUAUGUUGGAAUAACCUGUCUAUGCGAAGUACUGCAUACAUGGUGAAAUUCUUCUGUUAUUCCAUUAUAUAUUAUUAUGUUGGAAUAACCUGUCUAUGCAAAGUACCGCAUACAUGGUGAAAUUCUUCUGUUAUUCCAUUCUUUAUUGUUCUAUUGGAAUAACUUGUCUAUGUAGAUUUACCACAUGCAUGGUGAAUGAUCCUUCGUAUUCAUUCUUUAUUAAAUUAUGGAAAUAAUUUAUCUAGGUGGAUUACCGUAUGGCGGGUGAAAAUCCAUUUGCAGUUUCAUAUAUUCUAUUAUACUCGUAUGAGAUAUCAUUUCUUUUGUACUCGUCAUGGAAUAUCAUUUUCUUUGGUAUUCUUUUUACGAGUUACUAUUCACGGGUUACUAUUCACCCAGUUACUAUUCACUCUAGUAUUAUUCACUCGGGUAUUCGGGGCACUUUUUGUGUCAGAGUACUAUCCACGAGUUACUAUUCACCCAAAUUACUAUUCACCCGAAUAUUAUUCACUCGGGUAUUUGGAGUACUUUUAUGUCAGGGUGCUAUUCACGAGGUACUAUUCUCAAAGUACUAUUCACAUGGUACUAUUCACGGGGUACUAUUUUUCCGAAAAAUAUAUUUCUUUUCUGUCCAAAUUAUUUUUGGUGCAUGAAUAUUAUUCUUGAAUUUUACUCUACAAAGAAGUAUCAUGUUGACAAUUUGGACGUUAUUGAUUUCUGGAUAAAUUAAAUUAUAAAUCUUUAAAAUUUAUCCUUGAACUUGUUUUAUUGAAUUAUUAUGUCAUUGUCAUCAUCCUCAUGCUUAUAUUUUAAUUAAAGUCAUCUUUGGCUUACGUGCAUAGAUGGACUUGGUAUGAUUUGACCAGGGAUUAUUCGAUAUAAUCAUGACCGUAAUAUAAUGAAUUCUGUGGUAAAAGUCGUCAUUGGCCUGUGGUUCAAUAAUGGACAGUUGUUGGUAUGAUUAUGACCAGGGAUUAUUCGGUAUAAUCAUGACCAUUGAUGAUUACAUGAAUAUCCUUGGCCCGUAGUGCAGGGAUGAUUUGAUGAUGUGGUUUAUUUAUUAAGCUGAGUCUCAGCGAUAAAGUUGAUGAAAAACUUUUUAAAUCAUAGAAGAUAGUAGAUUUUAUGCUCUACUUGACUCUUCUAAUGGAUUGCUUAUUCCGCUGCAGUUGUUGAUCUAAAACUUGUUGUCUAUUGUAUUCUAUCAGUUGUUAUACUGUUGAAGGCUAAAGAUAAUUUAUUUUGUAUUAUCUUAGUCAUAAUAUUUCUUAUUGGGCUAGUUGAGGUCACCCUUUCUUUCAUUGUUCUCUUCAGGAAAUGAGAAUAUAGCUGGGACGAGUCGGGGAACGGAUUGACGGUCCAGAUGGUUGUUUUAGUAGUCCUCACUAUUCUGUGAAAUAAUGUGAUAAUAAUUGUAAUGAAGACUCCAUUGAGAGUGGAUAUUGACUAAGAAGGCAAUAUUCCUAUUUAAACUCUCAACUAUGUUUUGUCGUAUUUUACACGACUGUUGUAUAAUUAAGUUGUAUUUGAUUUAUGUACCAUGUAUUUGGCGACCCAAGAUGGGUGAUGUAUGCCUGUUUUGGGGGCGUCACAGUUGGUAUCAAAGCUUAGGGAUAUGAUCCCUGGCUGAGAUGUGAGAUAAGAACUAGGAGGGGAGAGACGGGGAAUUCCUUCGCUAGUAUGACCUACCUAAGUUUAUUUGGUAUUUAAUUGGUCGGUCAGAGUAUAGGGAUAGUAUGUGAUAUGUCAAUUAACCAUUGUUUUGUGACAGUGUUUGAAAUGGCAUCUGAAAAUGUUGAGAUCAGCAAUGAAGCACAUGAGACUGUUGAGUCACCAACGAUCAACACCUAGGAUAAUGUGCAACAUGAAGACAAUAAUCCUCAGGUAAAUAACAACACCGAUCAAAUGAUGAACGAUGGGAUGUUCAAAGGCUUUAUGCAAUUCAUGCAACAUCAGGUAAGAGAGACUCCUGUUCAAAAUAUAGGUGGAAAUAAUGGCAACCCACGGUCGAUCACCGCUAAGCAGUUCAAGGAGCUGGGACCAACAGAGUUUUUGGGAAAGCCAGAACCACUUAAGGCGGAGACGUGGUUAAAGUAGAUCACCAAGAUAUUUGAUGUAUUGGGAUGCUUCGAGGAGCAAAAGGUUCCCUUUGCCACCUUUAUGUUGCGUGAAGAGGCAGAUUACUUGUGGGAAUCUGUAAAACGUACCCAGCCUGACGCACUCAAGAUGUCUUGGGAGAAGUUCCAAGAGCUGUUCAACAACAAGUACUUUCCCGAAAGUAUUCGUCACUUGAAGGAGGUGGAAUUCAUCAAGUUGGAGCAAACAAUAUGAUUGUGUCGCAAUACGAGGCUAAAUUUGUGGAGUUAUCCCAGUUUGCAUCCCAUUUGGUCGAUAAUGAGGAGCGAAUGACGCGAAUAUUUCUAAGAGGUUUGAAACCUGAUAUACGUCAAUACCUCAUUUCUCACAAAAUUUGUUUAUAUUCAGAUGUUGUGAAUAGGGCUCAGUUAUUAGAGCGCGAUAAUGAGUCAGCACAACCAAAAGGCAAUGACCAACAACGCGAUAAUAAUCGUACCAGUGGCAACGACCAUCGGAACAACGAUAACCAUCGUGGAGGAAAUUAUCAUGCCAGAAAUGGUAACCACUUUGGUGGUAAUCAUGGCCAAGAUAAUAGAAGUGAAAGUUUCAAGAAGAGGAGAUUCAAUAAUAAUGGAAAGACGUCAGCACCAGCACCUGUUGUUAAGGAAGGAGAACGACCGCUGGUCGUAUGUUACAAAUGCGGAGGGGACGGACACAUCAGUCCAAACUGUAUGCAGCAGUCCAAAGUGUGUUUCAAUUGUGGAAGAGAAUGUAACCUAGCCCGAUUUUGUCAUGUACCAAAAUCAACUCCAGCUGGGACGAUGGCUCCAAAGGCGGAUACAGACAAAACAAAGUCGGUGGUUUCAGGGAGAGCAUUUUUCGCGACUUCUCAAAAAGCGAGUAACCCGAACGAAGUUAUCACAGGUUAGUUAAUUAUGAAUUUUUGCAAAGUCUAUACCUUAUUAGAUACCGGUUCUACCCAUUUUUUUAUCUCUCUUGCUUGCGCUCAACGUUUAAAUUUGAUUCCGGAGAAAUUAGACUUUGACUUAUCGGUUGAAACUCCGUUAGUAGAAACCUUCAUUUCAUGUGCUAUCUAAGUCUUGGAUGAGAGUCACAGUUUUUAAAUGAUAUUUCUAUCAUUAAUAAAUUUCCUCACGUAUUCUCGAAGAACUUUCUGGCCUAAUCCAGAGCGUGAAAUCGAAUUUUGUAUUGACCCCAAUACAAAACCAAUUUCUAAAACCCUUAAAUAGUUCUUCAACCAAAAUGAACGUAUAAUGUGCCAAAGACGUUGGCUCGAGCUGUUGAAGAUUACGACCAUACCAUUCAAUAUCAUUGUGGAAGAACGAACGUGGUAGCUGACGCGUUGAGUAGAAGAUCGUAUGCGUUUACGAGUGCGAUGUUGUUAACACAAAGACCCAUUUCGUAUAACUUUCAAAUGAUGAAGAUAGAGUUAAAUACUCUAAGGACCCACGUGGUGAUAUCAAAUAUACGAGUAGAAUCGACUUUAAUAAAUAAAGUUAAAGCCGCUCAAGCUACACACCCGAAUCUGAUGAAUUUGAAGAAGAUGGUUGAAGAGGGCGUUAUUCUAGAAGCAAGACUCGAUGAAGAGAGAAAAUCUCAACCCUCGAUUUUAUUGGCCCAUUUUAAAUCCUCGAUUGAGUAGGAACUGUAGCCUAUAGACUCGCUUUACCACCAAGUAUAUCGCGUGUUCAUAACAUUUUUCACGUAUUGAUGUUACGUAAAUAUGUGGACGACUCGAACCACAUUAUUGAAUUAGAACUGGACGAGAUAACAGAAGAUUUAACAUAUGAGGAGAUACGUGUUAAAAUCUUGGAUAAGAAUGAUCAUAUUCGACACUCAAAGGUUAUACCUCAAGAGUUAGAAUCUGAAAUGAAGUCAAGGUAUCCUCACCUCUUCGGCAUACCAAGUACGUACGUAAAUUUCGAGGGAGAAAUUUCAUAAGGAGGGGAGAUUGUAAAACCCCAAAUUUUACGAAUAAAGAUUUAAUUUUCUCAAAAUAUUUUUUUAAUAUUAUGGCGUGGAUUUGAGAUAGUGUUAUAGUUGUGGGUAGUAUUUAUAAAUUUUUCAAAGUAUGCAAGUUGUUAUAUAAUAUUUGAUUGGUCGGGGAAUAUUUUUUUUAACAGGGAAUAUUCGUACGAUGGCACAAUCAUUGGUGGACCCCACAACCGAAGUAUUGUCAUAGUUAGAAAAAGACAAAAUUAUCAUUAUAUAAAAAUAAUGGUGAGAGUGUUACCGUUAAAACUGUUAAACUACUCGAUAGUAAAAGUACAGUAAUACGCGUCGUUGCAUAGUAGCACACUGUAUUAAUUAUUGAUACUUACGUGAAAAGUCACUCAAUUAUACUCAAUUUUUGCUACAGUAAUUGCUGCAUCAUAUCUAUCAUAUCAUUGAUUCAAUUAUUGUCACAGUAUCAUCUGCAUAAUAUGAUAUAUUAUUAAAACAAUAAUUGAGACGACAAAGUUAUUUAUAUUAUUAAAUUGCAAUAUUUACAAUUUCUAGAAGUUAUAUCAAGGAGAGGUUUGGUAAUCUAAUUGCGCGCCAAUAUGGAGAAAUCCUUAUCGGAAAGCCCCCCCUUUCCUGGGAACGACCUAGUUGUUAAAUAUUGUGAGUUAUAAUAUUAAUGAUGAAUAAGUUCGUGUUGAUUAAAGAUGAAAUGGAUAGUUCCAUUUUGUUGGAAUUAUAAGUGUUAGUGGAAAUCGAUAUUUAUUUCGAUAAUAAUUGAUGUCUGGAGGUUAUAUUGACCAAUAGGGUAAUUAACCGGAUAAAUGAGCAAUUAAUUGUUAUUGAUUCACAUGAUUAUAACUAUUUGUUCACAUGUGUAUCCUAUUGAUUCACAUUCAUUUACUAUUAGUGGAGUUGGUGCAAGAUUGAUAAUACUUGCAUGACUAAGUUAAAAAUGGAGGUAAAGAUGGAGGUACUAUACUGUAAUUCAUAUUUUUACAUGUCUAGAACUAUUGAGUCACAUGAUUUACUAUUGAUUCACAUGAUUUACUAUUAGGGGAGGUGGUGCAUGUUUGAUAAUACUUACAGGACUAAAUUAAAAAGGAAGAAACAGAGGAAGGUAUUAUACUGGAAUAUUUCGAGCCCCAAAAUGUGCAAUUAUUGAAACUAUAUUUUCCUAUAAAUAGAUGCUCAUUCUUCCUUCAUUUCUCACCAAUUCACUAAAGCUAUAGAGCAAUUAUUAUAGAGAGAAAUUAUAUAGAGAAAGAAGAAGAGAAGUCUGCUACCUCACUAUUCUAGUAUCCAAUCUUCUUUUGAGGUAAGGGGUAUUAUUUCUUUCGUAUUCAUGAAGAGAGAUUCUGUUAUUCUAUUCUUUAUUAUUAUGUUGGAAUAACCUGUCUAUGCGAAGUACUGCAUACAUGGUGAAAUUCUUCUGUUAUUCCAUUCUUUAUUAUUCUGUUGGAAUAACCUGUCUGUGUGGUCUAUCGCAUGCCUGAUGAUUUCUGUUGUUAUUCCAUUCUUUAUUAUUUUGUUAGAAUAUCCUAUCUGUACGAAUUAUGCAUGACUUGGUUCCAUUCUUUAUUAUUAUAUUGGAAUAACCUGUCUAUGCGAAGUAUCGCAUACAUGGUGAAAUUCUUCUGUUAUUCCAUUCUUUAUUGUUAUGUUGGAAUAACCUGUCUAUGUGAAGUACCGCAUACAUGGUGAAAUUCUUCUGUUAUUCCAUUCUUUAUUAUUCUGUUGGAAUAACCUGUCUAUGUUGAUUUACCGCAUGCAUGGUGAAUGAUCCUUCGUAUUCAUUCUUUAUUAAAUUAUGGAAAUAAUCUGUCUACGUGGAUUACCAUAUGGCAGGUGAAAAUCCAUUAGCAAUUUUGUAUAUUCUAUUAUACUCGUAUGAGAUAUCAUUUCUUUUGUACUCGUUCUGGAAUAUCAUUUUCUUUGGUAUUUUUUUAUGAGUUACUAUUCAUGGGUUACUAUUCACUCUAGUAUUAUUCACUCGGGUAUUCGGGGCACUUUUCAUGUUGGGAUACUAUUCACGAGGUACUAUUCCUGAAGUACUAUUCACAAGGUACUAUUCACAGGGUACUAUUUACUCAAAAAAUAUAUUUCUUUUCUGUCCAAAUUAUUUUUGGUACAUGAAUAUUAUUCUUGAAUUUUACUCUACAAAGCAGUAUCAUGUUGACAAUUUGGACGUUAUUGAUUUCUGGAUAAAUUAAAUUAUAAAUCUUUAAAAUUUAUCCUUGAACUUGUUUUAUUGAAUUAUUAUGUCAUUGUCAUCAUCCUCAUGCUUAUAUUGUGAUUAAAGUCAUCUUUGGCUUACGUGCAUAGAUGGACUUGGUAUGAUUAUGACUAGGGAUUAUUCGGUAUAAUCAUAACCAUAAUGUAAUGAAUAAUGUGGUAAAAGUCCUCAUUGACCUGUGGUUCAAUGAUGGACAGUUGUUAGUAUGAUUAUGACCAGGGAUUAUUCGGUAUAAUCAUGACCAUUGAUUAUUACAUGAAUAUCCUUGGCCCGUAGUGCAGGGAUGAUUCGAUGAUGUGGUUUAUUUAUUAAGCUGAGUCUCAGCGAUAAAGUUGAUGAAAAACUUUUUAAAUCAUAGAAGAUAGUAGAUUUUAUGCUCUACUUGACUCUUCUAAUGGAUUGCUUAUUCCCCUGCAGUUGUUGAUCUAAAACUUGUUGUCUAUUGUAUUCUAUCAGUUGUUAUACUGUUGAAGGCUAAGGAUAAUUUAUUCUGCAUUAUCUUAGUCAUAAUAUUUCUUAAUGGGCUAGUUGAGCUCACCCUUUCUUUCAUUAUUCUCUUCAGGAAAUGAGAAUAUAGCUGGGACAAGUCGGGGAACGGAUUGACGAUCCAGAUGGUUGUUUUAGUAGUCCUCACUAUUAUGUGAAAUAGUGUGAUAAUAAUUGUAAUGAGGACUCCAUUGAGUGGAUAUUGACUAAGAAGGCAAUAUUCUUGUUUAAACUCUCAGCUAUGUUUUGUCGUAUUUUACACGACUGUUGUAUAAUUAAGUUAUAUUUGAUUUAUGUACCAUAUAUUUGGCGACCCAAGAUGGGUAAUGUAUGCCUGUUUUGGGGGUGUCACACAUAAU
rnacentral:lncRNA from 1 species